CACAGCCUCCCCCCAUUACAGCUCCACCCCUGCACAUCACAGCCCCGCCCUCCCUCACCAAGCACCUCCCACAUGCCCAUAUAUGGGCAUGAUGCAGGCAGCUCUGACCCCGGUCUGUGAGGUCUGGGUCUCUGUGACCUCACAAUGACCAGGGCCCUCCCCAGGUCUAUAUAAGAGGCCGCAGAGUCAGCCCCUGUCAUAGCCCACAAAUUCCACCUGCUCACAGGUUGGCUGGCUCAACCAAGGCGGUAUCCCCUGCUCUGAGCAUCCAGGCCGAAUCCACCCAGCACCAUGGCCAGAUACCGAUGCUGCCUCACCCAUAGCCGGAGCAGGUGCCGCCGCCGCCGAAGACGAAGAUGUCACAGACGAAGGAGGCGCUUUGGUCGGAGGCGCAGGAGGAGAGUGUGCUGCCGCCGCUACACCGUCCUAAGGUGUACAAAAUAACCGCACAGUAGCAAGACCACCGCACUCCUGCCUGAAAGAUAACCAGCCUUCAAGACCCUCUUGCCACAUCUUGAACAUGCCACCGUUCCAAUGACAUGAACAGGAGCCUGCUAACGAACAAUGCCACCUGUCAAUAAAUGUUGAAAGACAUCA